rnacentral:rRNA from 1 species
AGAGUUUGAUCAUGGCUCAGAUUGAACGCUGGCGGCAUGCCUUACACAUGCAAGUCGAACGGCAGCACGGGAGCAAUCCUGGUGGCGAGUGGCGAACGGGUGAGUAAUAUAUCGGAACGUGCCCAGUCGUGGGGGAUAACGCAGCGAAAGCUGUGCUAAUACCGCAUACGAUCCAUGGAUGAAAGCGGGGGAUCGCAAGACCUCGCGCGAUUGGAGCGGCCGAUAUCAGAUUAGCUAGUUGGCGGGGUAAAUGCCCACCAAGGCGACGAUCUGUAGCUGGUCUGAGAGGACGACCAGCCACACUGGAACUGAGACACGGCCCAGACUCCUACGGGAGGCAGCAGUGGGGAAUUUUGGACAAUGGGCGCAAGCCUGAUCCAGCAAUGCCGCGUGCAGGAUGAAGGCCUUCGGGUUGUAAACUGCUUUUGUACGGAACGAAACGGUCCGCCCUAAUACGGUGGGCUAAUGACGGUACCGUAAGAAUAAGCACCGGCUAACUACGUGCCAGCCGCCGCGGUAAUAC